GCCUUUCGGAGCUGUGCGGCAUUCUGAGCAGGAAUGGCAGUGUGGACCUCUGUGAUGGGACAUCUUGUGGGAUCUCACAGCCAGUUCUGUGGCAAAGGAGGAUGAAGGCUUACGAGGUGCUAGAAUAGAAGACCAGAAAAUGAAAUGGUGGAGUUUGAGGCUGGAUAGACAGUUUGAAAGGUACAAAUAAUGGUUUGAAUAAAGAAAGGUAUUAAUGGGUCACCUCAAGUGAAGGCACUGCAAACACAAUGAUUGGUCAUUCUGAAUUUCCGGUCCUUCAUUCUGAAUUUCAAAGGCUCCUGUGACAAGUGGACAUGCAGUGACUGCACCUUUGUUUCUGAGGUGCCUGGAUGGAGGCUCAAAUAGAAGAUGGUGUCAGAUAUAUUGUGUUAAAAUUUUACCAUUAAAGUGUAUUAUAACAUGAA
rnacentral:lncRNA from 1 species